rnacentral:rRNA from 1 species
UGGGGAAUCUUGCGCAAUGGGCGGAAGCCUGACGCAGCAACGCCGCGUGAGGGAAGACGGCCUUCGGGUUGUAAACCUCUUUCAGGGGGGACGAAGCUUCCGGGGUUAAUAGCCCACGGGGUGACGGUACCCCCAGAAGAAGCCCCGGCUAACUACGUGCCAGCAGCCGCGGUAAUACGUAGGGGGCGAGCGUUGUCCGGAAUCAUUGGGCGUAAAGCGCGUGUAGGCGGCUUGGUAAGUCCGGUGUGAAACCUUGGGGCUCAACCCCAAGCCUGCACUGGAUACUGCCUCGCUUGAGUCCGGGAGGGGAGAGCGGAAUUCCUAGUGUAGCGGUGAAAUGCGCAGAUAUUAGGAAGAACACCGGUGGCGAAGGCGGCUCUCUGGAACGGUACUGACGCUGAGACGCGAAAGCGUGGGGAGCGAACAG